UGGGGAAUAUUGCACAAUGGGCGAAAGCCUGAUGCAGCAACGCCGCGUGAGUGAUGAAGGCCUUCGGGUUGUAAAGCUCUGUCUUCUGGGACGAUAAUGACGGUACCAGAGGAGGAAGCCACGGCUAACUACGUGCCAGCAGCCGCGGUAAUACGUAGGUGGCAAGCGUUGUCCGGGUUUACUGGGCGUAAAGGAUGCGUAGGCGGAUACUUAAGUCAGAUGUGAAAAUCCCGGGCUUAACUUGGGAACUGCAUUUGAAACUGGGUAUCUAGAGUGCGGGAGAGGAAAGUGGAAUUCCUAGUGUAGCGGUGAAAUGCGUAGAGAUUAGGAAGAACACCAGUGGCGAAGGCGACUUUCUGGACCGUAACUGACGCUGAGGCAUGAAAGCGUGGGGAGCAAACA
rnacentral:rRNA from 1 species